rnacentral:rRNA from 1 species
UUAUCGGAGAGUUUGAUCCUGGCUCAGGACGAACGCUGGCGGCGUGCCUAAUACAUGCAAGUCGAGCGGACAGUUGGGAGCUUGCUCCCGGAUGUUCGCGGCGGA